rnacentral:rRNA from 1 species
UACGGGGGGUGCGAGCGUUGUCCGGAAUCACUGGGCGUAAAGGGCGCGUAGGUGGUUUGAUAAAGGGUGUGGUGAAAGCCCGGGGCUCAACCCCGGGUCUGCCGUGCCGACUGUCAAACUCGAGGGCUGUAGAGGCAGACGGAAUUCCGGGUGGUAGCGGUGGAAUGCGUAGAGAUCCGGAGGAAGACCGGUGGCGAAGGCGGU